rnacentral:snoRNA from 17 species
AUUGAUGAUGAAUACGGGGCCACCUGAGUGAUGAUGAAAUUUCCCCAAUGCUGAUA